rnacentral:sRNA from 1 species
GCCAGGCACGGUGGCACAUGCCUGUAAUCCCAGCCACUUAGGAGGCUAAGAUAGGAGGAUCUUGAGUUCAGAGCCAGCCUCAGCAACUUAGCAAGGCCCUAAGCAACUCAGUGAGACCCUGUCUCUA